rnacentral:rRNA from 1 species
GACAGAGGUGCCAAGCGUUAGGCGGAAUCACUGGGCUUAAAGCGUGUGUAGGCGGAUUCCUAAGUACCUUGUGAAAACUCGAGGCUCAACCUCGAGACGUCGGUUGAAACCACCUGGCUAGAGUCCGGAAGAGGAGUGUGGAAUUCCCGGUGUAGCGGUGGAAUGCGCAGAUAUCGGGAGGAACACCCGUGGCGAAGGCGGCACUCUGGGACGGUACUGACGCUGAGACGCGAAAGCGUGGGGAGCAAACAGG